rnacentral:rRNA from 1 species
ACAGAGGUGCCAAGCGUUAGGCGGAAUCACUGGGCUUAAAGCGUGUGUAGGCGGAUCGUUAAGUACCUUGUGAAAUCCCACGGCUCAACCGUGGAACUGCUGGGUAUACUGGCGGUCUUGAGCCACCUAGGGGCAACUGGAACAAGCGGUGGAGCGGUGAAAUGCGCAGAUAUCGCUUGGAACGCCAACGGUGAAAACAGGUUGCUGGGGGUGUGCUGACGCUGAGACACGAAAGCCAGGGGAGCGAACGGG